CUCACGCCGCUCCUUUGGCAGCGCCCCCUGCAGGGUCGGAGAAGCGGGGCUUUGGUCCAGGCCGCACCUGGGGCGAGCGCGCAGGGGCCGACGCGGAGGCUCCCCUCAGGGGUGCUCCCGCCAGAAGCGUUCUGUCUCAGCCCUGGCUCCGGGACAGUCACCGAGACUCCGGGUCCCUAGAGAGAGACGUUGAGCGGCCAGUGUCUACGGGGUGAGAAAAAUGAGGUCCCAGAAGAGAGUGCCCCAGCUCUCACUGGGACUGGAGCCCACCCACCAUGGCCAUGGUUCACCUCCAGGGGGAUUCUAGAGGGAGAUGCUCAGGAGAGCUGGCCUGUGUGGCCAGGACCAGGUCCCUGAGAUUAGAUGACUGAAGCUGCCAGUGCCCCGUUUCUACUCGUAGCUGUGACCAUCGAGAAUGCCACCACCAGCCACCACCAUUGCCACUGCAUGAAAAGUGAUUGUUCCAGGGUGAGAGGGCUUAUGCCACGUGCACAUAUGUCAGAAAACGUUCCCCUUCCUCAACCUUCCUCCAUGCUCUCCAACAACAAGGCUGCUGAAGACCCUGACAGAAGGCCUGGAGAG